GAUGAAGAACGUAGCGAAAUGCGAUAAGUAGUGUGAAUUGCAGAAUUCAGUGAAUCAUCGAAUCUUUGAACGCACAUUGCGCCCUUUGGUAUUCCAAAGGGCAUGCCUGUUCGAGCGUCAUUUGUACCCUCAAGCUUUGCUUGGUGUUGGGCGUCUUGUCUCUAGCUUUGCUGGAGACUCGCGUUAAAGUAAUUGGCAGCCGGCCUACUGGUUUCGGAGCGCAGCACAAGUCGCACUCUCUAUCAGCAAAGGUCUAGCAUCCAUUAAGCCUUUUUUUCAACUUUUGACCUCGGAUCAGGUAGGGAUACCCGCUGAACUUAAGCAUAUCAAUAAGCGGAGGA
rnacentral:misc_RNA from 1 species